GCCUCCUGCACAACCAGCAAGCGGUUUCUGAAUGGGAGCGUUACAGAGCCAGAGGUGUAAUGGCCCCACUCCAUCUUUGUGUGAGGUAUUGCAGAACAAUCCAGAGCAGAGCGGAGCACAACAGCAGCUGGGAGGAAGCCUGGAUUGGAUAACGUCUCAGGGUAACAGCAGGUACGCUAUCAGAGCAGCCCCAAUCACCUCUGGGCUAUUUUCAGAGCCUCUGACCCCAGCGUGACUGGCUGGAUGACAUCUCCGUGCCAACAACAGGGGAAGAACACGACUGGGGAGAAGAAGAAGAA